GAACCGGUGUACUCUCAUGAUGAGUGUCAGAUGCUGGUUAAACAAGGCCGGGCUGAUGAGGUCAUGCUGCGCUGGUCAGAGGUCCGGGAGAUGCACCUCAGUGGCCUUGUUGAGUUUCACUCGCACACGCACACCCACCGACGCUGGGACCAGAAACCUGUGUCCCGUAAUCCGUCGGAUUUGCUUCGUGUCGAUAUUCUUCUUAGUCGUAAGCGGAUGAGGGAGAUGCUGGGUUACUGCAGUCAGCAUCUGUGCUGGCCUGAGGGCUGGUAUUGUUCUGAUUAUAUUCAUAUGGCUGAAGAGCUG
rnacentral:misc_RNA from 1 species